UUCGUGCUGAUGACUGGUGGUAAUAUAUUCACAGGGAAGGCAGAUUGUUCCAAGAGCUUGGAUAUUGUGUUUUUCUGUUUCAUGUUGCAGUAGGCCAACAUUUCUGCAGUAUAAUAAUUGGAAUAGACAGCGGUCGCGUAACUAAUAGUUCUAGUAUUGGACUUGGAGGAGCUUAUUUGAGAAGGAUAAUUUUUGCACCAAUGAUAUUGAAGAAUUCAGGGAUGCAGGAAGGCGGCGUUGUCGACAUCAAGGAUAUCGUGAAUAACUACGCACGGAGCUGGUACGAGAGAAAAUUCCAGAAAGCACUGGAGAAGAAGUUUGGCAAACUGCCGUGGGAUAGACUGUCGGUUGAGACGGAUAAUUCGCGGCUCAUCAUUGAACACGAAAAAGCAACUUACGAACAAGAGAAGAGUGGUUUAGGGACAUGUUCGCCACGAUAUUCCGUGCUGUUCAAAUCAAAUUAUAACAACACCACGGAUGGAACACUGCAUUAUGAAAUCUCGACGGAGCGGCGCACGAGGACAAGCGUCGCUUUGACAAUUACGGAAGGGUUUCGCUACGGCGGGAGCUUCGAGGUGAAGCUUGCCCCACCUUCUUUAGAGUGCAGUCUCGGAUUCUCAAGCGAAAUCAGCUUCGAGAAAAGCGUGCAGACGACCAAGGAACAAGAAGUCGUCUGGACCUUGAAUACCACUGUGGAUGUGCCGCCGUGCACGUGCACAACUGUUGAGCUGGUCGUCAGGGACGACGAAUACGACGGAAGAUUUCGCAUUCGGAGUUUCUUCAGUGGUGAGAUCCAUGUGAAUAUUCGCAAGGAAAACACCAACCUUACUACGAUCACAAUUAGUAAUUUAGGACAGAUUCUGACGGAGGAGAUGGGUUUCAAACGCGAUCCUAUAACCAAGCGACUGUAUUUUGAUACGCAUGGGGUUUGUAAUUGUCGUUACGGGGUGGAACAGGAUGUCAGGACUAGUAAUACCCCCAUUGCGCAGAAGGAAAGUUAGUGGAUAGCGGUGCCAUCAUAUUGGAUUGUGGAAGCUAGUGUCUUGGGAUCUUGGACUUGUCGCAUCCAGGGGAUGGGUCUAAUUGAAUAAAUAUAUGUGUGGAAAACCUUGCUCACAUGACGCCGGCAUACCGCCGUGAGCAAACUUACUAAAGAUGGCUUUGUGGAGGUAAUAAUUGACAUCCCAGGCCUGAAGACCAAGAAGAAAGGACUUUUAGGGAACAAACGAAUUGUGGAUGAGGCCCACUGCCAUCUGAAUGUCACAUUUGGAGAUGCAGCUGUUGAAAUGUCUGCUGAAAUAACUAAGGGUUUAAAGGCUGGACGAAAGUUCCAGAAGACUAUAGAAAUAAAAGAACUGAUAGUGCCUAGUAUUAAAGCAAUUGGCAAUUACUAUGAGGUGCAGGACGACACUGUUCGAAUAUAUGUGAAGAAAUAGCCGAAGUGGAUAUUCAAAAAAUCAUGGAGAAUGCAUGGAGAAUGACAUGGACAUUUGCAUAUGCAAUCUGUGAUGAUUUAAUUUAUGAUGAGAACUCAUGAUUAUUUUGUAAUUAUCAAGAUUAUUAGCAAGUAGGCAUAUAUCAUGUUAUUUAUUGCAGAAAUUCUUUAAUCAAAUAAAAAUAAUGGAUGUAGAUGUAGUUUUGUUUCUUGAAUCAAAAUGAAAUAAGCAUAAGGCAAAUUUUUACUGGAUUGCACUGUAUAUAUACUUCAAUGGUGUCUGGUAAUAUUCUCACUGGAAUUGAUGAGGAUGAUGAAUGUUGCAUUAUGAGGUCUUUUCAGGCAAAAGCAAAAACAUAUAAGGUGAGCUUGCUUAGAUCGGUACAAUUCCUCUGUUUCGUUUGUCUCUCAUACUUUUGCAUGUAAAAUGAAUGCUUGUGGAAAAAAGAAUAA